rnacentral:rRNA from 1 species
CCUACGGGAGGCAGCAGUGGGGAAUCUUGCGCAAUGGGCGAAAGCCUGACGCAGCCAUGCCGCGUGAAUGAUGAAGGUCUUAGGAUUGUAAAAUUCUUUCACCGGGGACGAUAAUGACGGUACCCGGAGAAGAAGCCCCGGCUAACUUCGUGCCAGCAGCCGCGGUAAUACGAAGGGGGCUAGCGUUGCUCGGAAUUACUGGGCGUAAAGGGAGCGUAGGCGGAUAGUUUAGUCAGAGGUGAAAGCCCAGGGCUCAACCUUGGAAUUGCCUUUGAUACUGGCUAUCUUGAGUAUGGGAGAGGUUAGCGGAACUCCGAGUGUAGGGGUGAAAUUCGUAGAUAUUCGGAAGAACACCAGUGGCGAAGGCGGCUAACUGGCCCAUUACUGACGCUGAGGCUCGAAAGCGUGGGGAGCAAACAGGAUUAGAUACCCUGGUAGUCCACGCCGUAAACGAUGAGUGCUAGUUGUCGGCAUGCAUGCAUGUCGGUGACGCAGCUACGACAUAAGACACUCCGCCGUCGGGAGGUACGGUCGCGAGAGUAAACGUAACGUAAAGAAGUUAGAGNGUUGAGAGNGCGAGGCGACGACGAGGGAGAGG